UACGGGGGGGGCAAGCGUUGUUCGGAAUUACUGGGCGUAAAGGGCUCGUAGGCGGCCAACUAAGUCGGAUGUGAAAUCCCCAGGCUUAACCUGGGAACUGCAUCCGAUACUGGAUGGCUUGAAUCCGGGAGAGGGAUGCAGAAUUCCAGGUGUAGCGGUGAAAUGCGUAGAUAUCUGGAGGAAUACCGGUGGCGAAGGCGGCAUCCUGGACCAGUACCGACGUUCAGGCACGAAAGCGUGGGGAGCAAACAGG
rnacentral:rRNA from 1 species